rnacentral:rRNA from 1 species
GACGAACGCUGGCGGCGUGCUUAAUACAUGCAAGUCAACUGAACUUAAGAUAGCAAUAUUUUAAGGGAGGUGGCGCACGGGUGAGUAACACGUAGGUAAUCUGCCUUUAGGUCUGACACAACCCCGAGAAAUCGGGGCUAAUAUCAGAUGAUGCAGCGGCUCGACAUCGAGACAGUUGUUAAAACCUUCGGGGCCUAAAGAUGAGCCUGCGUCUGAUUAGGUAGUUGGCGGAGUAAAAGCCCACCAAGCCUGCGAUCAGUAGCUGGUCUGAGAGGAUGAUCAGCCACACUGGAACUGAGACACGGUCCAGACUCCUACGGGAGGCAGCAGUAAGGAAUAUUGCUCAAUGGCCGAAAGGCUGAAGCAGCAACGCCGCGUGGAGGAUGAAAUACUUUUGUAUGUAAACUCCUGUAAAGAGGGAAAAUAUUCCGAUUUAUCGGGAUUGAUUGUACCUUCAGAGUAAGCCCGGCUAACUACGUGCCAGC